GUAAGAGCAGAACGUUGCAGAGUGUGCAGGCUGGAGUGUGUGCUAAGGCUCUGUGUGCUGAUUACUCCUUGUGUGUCUCAUUGCUUACAGGAUUUUUUUUUUUGAGACAGGGUCUCACUGUGUCACCCAGGCUGGAGUGCAGUGGUGUGAACAUAGCUCACUGCAGCCUCGGACUCCUGACCUCAAGCAAUCCUCCCGCCUUAGCCUUCCAGGUGCUUGAGAUGAGAAACAGACUUUUUUUCCUUUGAGAAUUCAUUAUUUCUCCCCUUGGGCUGUUUGUUCAAACCCACACAGGAGCAGGAACAUUGCUUUCGAUUGCCAAAGAAAUGACAUAAUGAUGCCAAUGAUUAAAAUGUCAAGAACACAGUGUCUUGGGCUGAGAUGGUAAAGGCAGCAUUCAGGCAGUGAUGAUCUGGGGUGAUAGGAGUGGCUGUGGGGAGACGGAGGCCUCCCUUCUUGUAGGAUGGGACUCGGUCUUUCCUCUGCCUCAUUGCUAUUAUUGUCUUGUUUUAUUUUUGCUUUUGUUUGUUUGGGUAGGUGAAAAGGCAGGUCGGGUGAAGAAGAGCAGGAUGUUUCAUUUUUAUCAAGCAUCACCUGAUUCAAAAUGUAGCCACUGAAAAGAAGCCAUCGUUUUUGGCCUGCGUCUCUGAGGAUAAGAUAGUGCGUGGGUGAUGGAUGCAGCCCAGGUGGGAGCUGUCUGCAAAUAACCCAGCUGCUUCCUGUGGCCCUGGUCAUCCUGCUGCCCUCAGCUUCUCCCACGGAGGCCACCUGCCCCCCUAACACUGAGCUGCUCACCUAGUCCAGCCACCAGCGACGGCCCCUGGCCUUUGACGUGUCUGUUCUCUCCUCUCUCACUCCACCACCACUAGCUUCCAGGGAUCUCCAGCCUGUAUAGAAACUUCUCACUACGCUCUGCUCUCGCCCUUUUAGCAGUCUCCUUAUGCUGCUGACUCCACCUCCCAGGCAAAUCAUUCUAAUUUAAUUCUUUACAAGUAUUCUCCCUCCUGGAGUGCUGGGCUCCACCACGGGGGCAAUCAAGGCACAUCACCCACAGCUUUCCAGACACCCACAGCCUUCCUGUCCUGCUGUGAGCGUGGCUCCUUCAGCCUUCUUCCUUCUUCGCCUGUGGGGAGUCAGACAUUCGCCAACCUCGUGCUCAAUCCCUGCCUCUGUCCAGGCCUGCUAAGCCCAUAAGACAUAUCUGCAUGUGUCAGAAUAUGUGCAAGCUUUCGACAGGAUCCCCGUUUCUCCCCAUGGAGCUUUUGGCAAAUGAAGGGUGUGGUUCAGCAGCUGGUCUGAUGUCCCUUAAGCUCCCCCACACCAGCACACCAGGACUGUCUCUGUCUCCACAUUCCAGCAUAUCUGGGUCUCAGCUUUGACACAAUCAGACACUGUUGCUGAAGUUUUUAUGUUUAUAUGACAGAAGAAACUGUCACCCCUCCCCUGCCCCCCGCCCCCACCCACCUGUUAUAAGAAAGAGCUCCAAGGUCUUGAGACCACACGCAGGGGAUGGGAAAGCUGACAUUAAAGGGGAAUGAGGUCUUUCUGUGAUUCCAGCAGCCUCAGGAGGACAACGUCAGAAACCAAAAGCUCCUCUGCCCAGGGAUGGGGACCCGCCGACUUCAAGGGCAGAACAGGUGCCUGGCUAGUGGGGGAGUUCCCCAAUGUGGAUUUAAACUGUAGUGUCUUCAGAGAACAUAACCAACAUUUGUCUUUAGGAGAUGUGUUUGUUUGAGUAGAUCAGCUAUGAAAAUACCCAGCCGGCCUGCAGCCCUCCCGGCAGAUGCUGAAAAGGAAACCCGACUGGGAGAUGCCGCCCACCCUUAUCCCCAGAGAGCUGCGUUGUUUCCUCUUGCCUUGGCCUUUGGAUCCGGCCAUAGCAAGCAUCCCUGGGCACCUGGCUGAAGCUGGAAACUCGGGAUAAGAAUGGAAGCCCUGGAAGGGAAGAAGAACCGAGGAGAGGACAGCACAUUGCACUCUCACCUCCUUUGCAGUUAAGUGUGAAAUAGUGCCAAUAGAGUGUAAAAGAAAAGAAAGAAGAUGAUUCACCUCCCAAAGAUUCCCCACUGCUGUGUCCCUUCUAUCAACUUGAUACAAAAAAACACAAUGGCCCCGGGAACCACGUGUUGAAGAUGAGAGAGCUAAAAGAUGGAAAGAGACUGGAGCCCUGAGUCACCACCUGGAGGAAAACUACCCACCCAUCAGGAAUUUCUACUACACAUUUGGGAGUUUUUGGGGUUACAGCAGCUAAUUUAACGAAAACACCCAGAGACAAGAGCUAUUACUGCACAAAUUGGUUAAGUUACCUUUUUGUAUGUUUGGGUCCUCUCUAUUCGAUGAGACUGCGCGUUCCUUUGAAGCAAAUCUGUUUAAAAUUCUUAUAUCCCCAGAGGGCCUAGCAGAGAGUAUGCACAGAGUGAGCCUUCAGUAAAUGCUGAGUAAAUAAGCUCCUAAUGGAUGAAACUGUGUCUUCGAAGUUUGUUCUGACCAGUACUUAGUAUAGGAUUUUGUGCUGUUGGUCACUUUUCAUAAAGGUUCUUGCUAUUAAGGAACUUGACAUCCAAUGUACUCAUAGAAAGUAGAAAUUCAGGGGAAACAAAUAGAAGAGAUAUGUCCAAAAAUCCAUUUAAAAUUUCAUUGACAGAUAUUUAUCUCUUUAAUCCUGGAAGUUGUUUCAUGUAAGGGAAGGUUCAGUAGAAUGAAAACAGGACUGUAAGCUGGGAGGAGAUUUGGGGUCUCUUGGCCAACUCUGCCACAAAUUGUGUUACCUUCAACUUCCCUGCCUGUAAAAUGAAGUCAGUGGUCCCUAAAAUGAAAUUGGACUAAUGGCAAAUUAGCUAGCAUUUGAUUAUACAUCGAUAGUUUCCCCAUGUGAUUUUAACGCACAAAUCAGAUUUUGGAACCAUUAGGUAGGUGAUCUUAUCUUAUGAGUUUAUCUUUUUCAACAUGGAAAAAUAAAUUUGUUUUGCUGACCGAAGGCUGUGUAACUUAGAACUGGAAAGAGACAUGUAAUUGAAUAACCCAUCUCUAUGGGGCAAAAAAAUGAAACACCUUUAGUUUGUUCAAAGAUGAAAUGGAAAAAUAAACAUGUUUUAAGAUGACUUGGUAGAGAAAAUAUUUUCUUUGCCAGGAUAUUAGAGAAUUUGUCAAAAGUUAUUACACAGGAAAGUCAAAGGUUUCAUUGCAGGAACUUAAUAAAUAUUUGUUUAUUAGCUGAUUAAUGUGCUGAUCCAAGCAGAGAAGGAAUCCUGUCUUUGUUUUAAAGUCAGGAUUUCUAAUUUCCCUUUCAGGAUAAAAAUGUGCUCUGUGUUCAGCUAAGCAACCUAAACUGUCUAUUCCAUUAUUCAAACAAACACCAAAAAGGAUUGAAUGUAUCCUCUGGCAACCAAAGAUAAUACUCCCAGGUCAAGCUUCUUUCAGGCAGAUAUUAAUGGUUACUUUUAGUUAUUGAAAAAUAUUGCAUAAUUCAUGCGCUGUGCUUGACGAAGCAGAUCCCACUCUGGGGCCCUCAGGAAUUUGAGGCAGAAUUCCCUACUCUUUGAGGGUGUCUUCAUUCCCCACCCUGGGUGUUUAUCAUGCCUCUGAGUGAAACCCAUAGGAUGACAAUGGCAUAGCUUUUCAAAAAAGAAAUCAUCCAAAGUCCUUUCUAAAGUGCAGAAGUCAGAACUAUUGAUUCUGAAAUUGAGCCAUUUCCAGUGGUACCAAAGAAGUGGUAUAUUAUAGAAUUAGAAUAUGUCUUCUAUUCAGCACAUUCCAAAUCACUCUCUAUUCAAACAUACUCAAAAUGUAUUUUUAUUCAACAUAUUCAAAAUGUUCAUCCUUCAAAAAGUGCUUCCCCCAUUAGCCAGCCCCCUGCAAGUCAGUUGUUCCCACCUUUAUUCCACUGAUAUGGAGGUCAUUUGAAUGCUGUUUGCUCUGUUAAGAUGCUGUCAUUUGAACAAUACACUCACAUUUCAGGCAAAUUUGAAUCAUGCAAAUUUUAAAUAAUGCUAUGUAAAAUAGCAAUAAAAUACUACUGGAGAUUGCUCAAUUUCAGAAUGGGCAACAUUUGAAAUAGUCCAAAUUCCUCCAAAUUUGCAUGAUUUAUCCAGAAUGGCAUAACAAAUCCAGAGCACAGCCAGUGAAACUUACGCUGUGUUUGGACCCUGGUCUGGUGGCUGUGCCACAGUUGCGGUAAACAGAAACCUCCACAGGGAAACCUCCACAGGCCUUGGUCAGUGUGAUGGGGAGUAGUACAAUGAAUCAAAGCAGAUGUUUUCCUGAGUGAUUUUUGUGGCUAUAGUGCUGGGGUUUUUUUGUUUUUUUUUUUUUUUCAUUGUGUUAAUAAUUUAAUAUCUUUUCUAUCCUAUGAAAGUAUCAUGUAAGCUUUUAUAAUAUAGUGGCACUGAAAACGUGCUGUAAAUUAUGAUCCAUUCAGUAUGACAGGGGAAUGGUUCCAGGACCCCCGGCACCUUCCACCCCAGGAUACCAACAUCUGUGAUGCUCAACUAACUGAUAGAAAAUGGCCUAGGAUUUGCAUAGAACCUACUUACGUCUUCCUGUAUACAUUUUUUUUUUUUUGAGACGGAGUCUAGCUCUGUCUCCCAGGCUGGAGUGCAAUGGCACGAUCUCAGUUCACUGCAGCCUCCACCUUCCAGGUUCAAGCAAUUCUCCUGUCUCAGCCUCCCAAGUAGCUGGGAUUACAGGCACAUGCCACCACACCCAGCUAUUUUUUUUCUAUUUUUAGUAGAGACUGGUUUCACCAUGUUGGCCAGACUUAUCUCGAACUCCUGACCUCAAGUGACCCACCCAUCUCGGCCUCCCAAAGUGCUGGAGUUACAGGCAUGAGCUACCAUGCCCAGCCCCUUCCCAUAUACUUUAAAUCAACUCUAAAUUACUUAUAAUAUCUAAUGCAAUAUAAAUCCUAUGUAUAUAGUUGUUAUACUGUUUGGCGUAGGGAAUAAUGGCAAGAAAAAGCCUGUACAUGUUCAGUACAGACACAACCAUCUUUUUUUGUUUGCUUCCUGAAUACUUUCCAUCCAUGGUUAGUUGAAUCUGAGAAUGUUGAACCCCUGGAUUCCGAGGGCCAACUGUGGUAUGAAGUGACAUUAGAUGUGAUAGACGAAGAAGGCCUGUCACUGGCCGUGAUCCAUUGGGCCAUUAAUUUGGGAGAAAGACUCUGCAACAUAAAAGAGAUUCUGCUAGGAAGUGUUUUGAAGCAUCUUUAAAGCAAGGAUACCAUGAAUCUAGAUGUAGGCACUCUGAGAACAUACUCCCUUCCUGUCUUAUGAUUAUCUAUAGGAAAAUUAGACUUAGAUUAGGCACAUCUUGGAUGAUGCCUUUCUUCCGGAACGUGGCUACCUUUAAAUAUUUUCAUGUGAAUAUAGUGCACGUGCUUCCUAGAUUGUAAUCUCCUCGGAAGGAAGCAGAAACCAUCUGUUGUUUUUAUAUCCCACACUCCAGCUAGCUAACGACAAUAAUGGUGACAUUGUGACAGCAGUUUACUGUUUACAAAGUGCUUCUGUCUCAGUUCACCCUUGUGAUGACACUGCAAGGUGAGUUUUCUUGGUUUCUAAGUUUGACAGGCCAGGACCCAGAAGUGUAGAGAGAGUCAUUGAUUUGUCUGGGUCACUCGGCAACAAGUGGUGGGUAAGAAACUGGAGAAUGGGAAGCUGCAGGCAUGGGAUGGGAAGCUACAGGCAUGGGAUGGGAAGCUGCAGGCAUGAGAUGGGAAGCUGCAGGAAUGGGAUGGGAAGCUACAGGCAUCCGAAUGGGAAGCUGCAGGCAUGGGAUGGGAAGCUGCAGGCAUCCGAAUGGGAAGCUGCAGGCAUGGAAUGGAAGCUACAGGCAUCUGAAUGGACUUCUUGCAUCUGUCUCCCUUUGAAACCCUGCAUCUGAUUCCGUCUUCCGGGUACAGGCAUGUCUGGCAACACGGAGGAUGAACACCUCUCACCCUGCCUCCCUGCUGCAUGAUCUUUGACUGUGGUCCCUCACUCGUUCCUCAGAGCAUCAGUUCAUCAGGGGGACUCAUCUGGGGCUGGCUGGUGAGGAAGAAGGGUCCCUGGUGUGCACUGAUGUUCACUGCGUGGAAAUGUGUCCCUUGGGAUGGAGAAAAGUGGAGGGGCACACUCCAUAUCAAAGCAGAACUGUCAUAGCUGCCAGUCCCGGAGAAAGCAGCAGAAAAAGCCAGGGGACCGGCCACGUUCUAUUUCCAGCCAUAAUGAGUCAUGAGAUCGUGGAAAGGCCCUUUAACCUCUCCAGCCUUAAUUUCCUCAUUUGUAAAAUAAGAACAACACUUGUCUAAGCCACCUCACAAGACAGUUGUGAAUGAUGGGAAUGGUUUCUUUCUAACGUAUGUCACGCUUGGGCAGGGCUGCCCUGGGACCUCCGGUGAGCCUGCUGCAGGAGAGAAGCCUCCCCCCACCAUGUGAACACACCCUCCCCACCCAGCCCCCACACUCCCUGGCUGGCACACACGGGACUUCAUUAUUAUUGUUGUUUUAAAAAAUGAAUUUGGCAUUUUGCAUUUGAAGAAUAAAUAACAAAUAUUCUAGCUAGUCAAAUAAACUGAAAUACAUAUUUA
rnacentral:lncRNA from 1 species